CCUACGGGCGGCUGCAGUAAGGAAUAUUGGUCAAUGGAGGGAACUCUGAACCAGCCAUGCCGCGUGAGUGAUGAAGGCCUUAGGGUUGUAAAGCUCUUUUACCAGGGAUGAUAAUGACAGUACCUGGAGAAUAAGCUCCGGCUAACUCCGUGCCAGCAGCCGCGGUAAUACGGAGGGAGCUAGCGUUGUUCGGAAUUACUGGGCGUAAAGCGCACGUAGGCGGUUUUUCAAGUCAGGGGUGAAAGCCCGGAGCUCAACUCCGGAAUUGCCCGUGAAACUGGAUGAGUAGAAUCUUGGAGAGGUCAGUGGAAUUCCGAGUGUAGAGGUGAAAUUCGUAGAUAUUCGGAAGAACACCAGUGGCGAAGGCGACUGACUGGACAAGUAUUGACGCUGAGGUGCGAAAGCGUGGGGAGCAAACAGGAUUAGAUACCCCGGUAGUC
rnacentral:rRNA from 1 species